UACAGAGGUCUCAAGCGUUGUUCGGAUUUACUGGGCGUAAAGGGCGCGUAGGCGGCUUAACAAGUCACUUGUGAAAUCUCCGGGCUUAACUCGGAACGGCCAAGUGAAACUGUCAAGCUAGAGUGCAGAAGGGGCAAUCGGAAUUCUUGGUGUAGCGGUGAAAUGCGUAAAUAUCAAGAGGAACACCUGAGGUGAAGACGGGUUGCUGGGCUGACACUGACGCUGAGGCGCGAAAGCCAGGGGAGCAAACGGG
rnacentral:rRNA from 1 species